AACGAACGCUGGCGGCAUGCCUAACACAUGCAAGUCGAACGAGACCUUCGGGUCUAGUGGCGCACGGGUGCGUAACGCGUGGGAACCUGCCCUUAGGUUCGGAAUAACUCCCCGAAAGGGGUGCUAAUACCGGAUAAUGUCUUCGGACCAAAGAUUUAUCGCCUUUGGAUGGGCCCGCGUUGGAUUAGCUAGUUGGUAGGGUAAAAGCCUACCAAGGCGACGAUCCAUAGCUGGUCUGAGAGGAUGAUCAGCCACACUGGGACUGAGACACGGCCCAGACUCCUUCGGGAGGCAGGAGUGGGGGAUAUUGGACAAUGGGCGAAAGCCUGAUCCAGCAAUGCCGCGUGAGUGAUGAAGGCCUUAGGGUUGUAAAGCUCUUUUACCCGGGAUGAUAAUGACAGUACCGGGAGAAUAAGCUCCGGCUAACUCCGUG
rnacentral:rRNA from 1 species